CGCCGGCCACCGGCUCAGGGCUCCGACACGGGCGGAGGACGCAGCGGGCCAGCGGCGCCCGGCAGGGAGGCAGCGGGCCAUCUGCCUGGGGUCACAACCUCGGUUUGCAGCAAAAAUGCUUUCAGAACAGACAGCAGCACUGGGGACACGAUGGGAGUCAAUGAAUGCACAGCUGGAUGGAGCACAAUCCCAUGUGGAAAGGAGAAGCCAGGAAGAGGGGCCAUGGAGAACAGCACCGGGGCCUCUGGAACACCCGUGCUGUGAUCUUGAAGAGGAGCCACAGUCCCUUCAAGAGAAGG